AAUGAAUUGCCUGAAUAAAGGGUUACCUUGAUAGGGUAAAUUAUGUAAUAAAGUUACAUUCAUUA
rnacentral:tRNA from 1 species